UGGGAAUUCACAGGAUCAGGGAGGAGGGU
rnacentral:piRNA from 1 species